GUGAGUCAUCGAAUCUUUGAACGCACCUUGCGCCCUUUGGCUAUUCCGAAGGGCAUGCCUGUUGAGUAUCAUGAACACCUCAACUCUCGUGGCUUGCAUGAUGAGGCUUGGACUCUGGGGGACUUGCCGGCCUAUGGUCGGCUCCUCUCAAAUGAAUCAGCUUGCCAGUGUUUGGUGGCAUCACAGGUGUGAUAACUAUCUACGCUUGUGGUUUUACACCAGGUAACCUUCGGUGAGACGGAGGUUCACUGGGGCUCAUAGACGGACGUGUCUCUCCUCGGUGGGACAUGGCUUUUUGAAUGUUUGAUCUCAAAUCAGGUAGGACUACCCGCUGAACUUA
rnacentral:rRNA from 1 species